rnacentral:lncRNA from 1 species
AUACACGGCUUGCACGAGGGUAAGCAACAACAACCACAAGUAAAAGCAAUCUAAAUAAUACAUUCAUACAUUAUAACUUGAUCACUUUCAAUCAAAUACAAAACUUGUAAAAUAUCAUUACAUUCAUUAUAUAUAAUCACCUCUCAAAUGACAAUUAAUACAUUUUCCAUUCAUCAAACAUAAUAGAUGAAAUACUACGGGUGGCUCUAUACACAACGGUAGUCUGCUACCUAGAGCACGAUAACCAUGCCACAAGCCCCGAUCGUCCUGCUCGCGCUAGAACCUAAUACAUUCAUACAUUGUAACUUGAUCGCUUUCAAUCAAAUACAAAGCUUGUACAAUCUCAUUACAUUCAUUAUACAUAAUCACCUCUCAAAUGAGAAUUAAUACAUUUUUCAUUCAUCAAACAUAAUAGAUGAAAUACUACGGGUGGCUCCAUACACAACGAUAGUCUGCUACCUAGAGCACGAUAACCAUGCCACAAGCCCCG